rnacentral:rRNA from 1 species
UACGUAGGGUGCGAGCGUUAAUCGGAAUUACUGGGCGUAAAGCGUGCGCAGGCGGUUUUGUAAGCCAGAUGUGAAAGCCCCGGGCUUAACCUGGGAAUGGCAUUUGGGACUGCAAGGCUUGAGUGCGGCAGAGGAGACUGGAAUUCCUGGUGUAGCAGUGAAAUGCGUAGAUAUCAGGAGGAAAACCGAUGGCGAAGGCAGGUCUCUGGGCCGACACUGACGCUCAUGCACGAAAGCGUGGGGAGCAAACAGG